rnacentral:pre_miRNA from 1 species
ACAACAACAUUCGGACCGUCGGUCUACCGAGCAAUAUCACCCGCUCGGUGGAAGAUCUUCCUUUCGUCGUAUAUC